AGCGAACGCUGGCGGCAGGCCUAACACAUGCAAGUCGAACGGACCUUUCGGGCUUAGUGGCGGAGGGGGGGGUAACACGUGGGAACGUGCCCUUAGGUUCGGAGUCACUCAGGGAAGCAUGUGCUCAUACCGCAUGUGCUCUUCCGGGGUAAGAGUUAUUGCUUUUGGAUGGGCCGGGGUCUGUUUAGCUAGUUGGGUGUGGUCUUGGCGCACCACGGCUACGUGCAGGAGCUGGUGUGAGCAGAUGCUUUGACACAUUGGGACUGAGACACGGUCUAAACUCCUACGGGGCGCAGCAGAGGGGAAUCCUGCGCAAUGGGCGAAAGCCUGACGCAGCCAUGCCGGGUGAAUGAUGAAGGUCUUAGGAUUGUAAAAUUCUUUCUCCGGGGACGAUAAUGACGGUACCCGGAGAAGAAGCCCCGGCUAACUUCGUG
rnacentral:rRNA from 1 species